CUUUCUAUCUCAUCCAAUCUGUAUUUGAUUACCACCAUAGGUGAAUUGGAUAAUUACUUUGUAUGCUUUUCAUGCUAUUUAUUUGUUUGAUGUGAAGUAUUUAUCUUGUUUUUCUGUUAUUUGUUAUUGUGGAGGUUUAUCUUGAGAACCCAUGUCUGUUUUCCCCUGCAAUAUCCAAAUCACUCAUCUUUCUUAGGUUUUAUUUCUUGUUUGAUCUUUGUUUACUUGUUUAAUUUGGUGAUUUAUCUUUUUUUACUUGUUAUUGGGUGGAGGUUUAUCAUGAAAAAUUAUUAUCUGAUUUUCCUUGCUAUAUCUGGAUCAUUGAUCUCUCUUGUUUUGGUCCGUCCAUAUGAAGUUAAGGGUUAGUGGUUGUCCAGUUAUCAUAAAAUUAACUGAUAUUCUUUUCUGUUUUAUCAGUGAUAGGACUAAUGGGAAUCUUUGUUUACUAUUUUUUGUGUUUACCAUACAUACUGCAGAUGUUGUACAAGUGGUGUCAUCUGUUGUUUUUACUGAUAGAGCAGAAUUGUUUCUUUUUUCUUGUAUCUUUGACUAGGAGAAGGCCAUUAAUUAAUUAAUUCUGGGACUAUGCAUUCAACCUCAACUUCUACCUCUCUUUUUUUUUUGUCCAUUUCUGUUUUUGGUGACAAUUGACAUAAAAAACAAAAAUACUACAAAUUAGGGGCAGACUAACACUAAUGCACCUUAUUGAAUCUUAGGCUCCAAAAAACACUAAGUUGCAUCUCUAUGGGCGAAAACCACAUAAGAAUCACAAGACUCGCAGCAAAUCAGAAAUUCCCAUGAGAGUACUGUCUAGCCUCCAUGGAACCUCACUUCCCUUUCAAGCCCAUAUGAAGGUGGAGGGUAUCUAGGUUUCUAUCCAGGGAGAGUUUGGUCACCAAGAUUCCCUACGUGGAAUUCCUCUGAAUGUCCAAGUCUCAAGUUGUUUUGUUCAUUUACACAUGGCAUUUUCCUGAUUGGCAUUUUAAAACCUGUUAAGGGUGACCUUUUUCUUGUGACGAAUUCCUUUAGAUUGGGUUUGGUACUAAUUUUUGUAGAUAUAGAGGUAUUGAAACCUCUGUGGAGAUAUGCAAAUGUGUUUGUAGAAACUCCUUACAGUUCUUUUUGGUAUUCAACAAACAUAGCUUGUUGGCAGACAUAUUUGUGAUACAAGCUUAGUGCAAAUAACUCUUGCAUGCAUUUUUUUUGGUUUAUUUUUCAGAGCUUUCUUUUUCUUAUUGGUACUUAUUUUCAUAACCUUCUACAAUAUACUUGUUUGAGCACCCCGGACUGUCUAGUUCCCUUGGAAUGAAAGCAUGAACAGGUUUGUCAUUGGGAUUCCUAGAGAAGUAGCAUAAUGUACAACCUUGUGAUUAUAUGUAUGGACUCAUGUGUGUCUCUACAUAAUUGUAUUGUGGUUUUCUAGGAAUUUUCACAUGCGUGUGCAGAUUUAUCUAUGCAAGUUUUCCACAAUUAACUAGAAAUAAUAGAGUUUGUCAUGCUUACACUACUAUGCUUGUCAUUGUUGCCUUCUUGUAUAUUAUUGGCUUGAUACCACUUAAAGAACUGUUUGGUGUAAACCCCCAUUCUCUUUAUAUAGGGGGUUGGCAUCCUUUUAUGCAAUAAACAAAGAGUUCAAAUGUACCAUUUGUCACACCUAGGGUCAUUUAUUCAUCAGAGUGCCAGAGUUUUCUUUAAAUACAUCUCUUAUUAGUUUAUUUACUACGCUUUGUAUGUAACUUCUUUGAAUUUCUGCAUGUUAUGAAAGUGACUUUUGUUUUGUGUUGUCUCUGAGUUGUGUUUCAUCUAUCAGCCAUUAUUCUUCUAACCUUGAGACAUCAGAAGUCAAUAACUGCUACUUUCUUGGCAAUGGGUCAUUUGUCUAAAUUCUACAUAUUGAACCCAUAGGAAAAGAAAAUGCCAAAAUAAAUGCCUUUAACUUCAAAAUUUUCAAAUAUGGGAGUUAAUUUCUGCUAUUUCCUUUCUUAAUGUUCAACCCAUCUUGAAAUUUCAAUUGUGGGAGUUAAUUUCAGCUUUUUCCUUUUAAAUUUUUAACUUUAUUGAAAUUGUUUGCCUUGUUUAGUACCAUAUUUUUUGGGUUCUUUUAGUACUCACCAUCUCUGUUUUUUGGACCUUAUCUUUUCGUGGAGUUGAUACAUAGCAUUACAGGAAUCCCAAUUUCACACAUGCAAAUUCAUAUUCAUGUAUAUAUAGAUCCUUCUAUAUAUUUAUUCUCGAGUGAAAGCAUGCAGUUUGCAUGUAUGUGUAUAUGCCCAGCAUUGUACCUAUGUAUUUCCAUGUCUCUGUGAGAGAGGUUUCUUUUGGGUAGUACAGUGGUAGGAAUCGAGCCUGGGACAUGGUGUUGAAAUUGUCAACCACCAAUCAAUCCUGCCCAAGCCCAAUUCCUAAAUGCAUGCAGGCUUUCUAGUGGAAGAGAGAGUUGUCUAGGUGGAGAUAUUUUUAUUUUUUUUCAAUGACCAGGCAUAUAUAAACUCAUUUACCUUAGCGGCUAUAUAAGUACCUUUCUCAUUAAGGGGUCAAAAAGGUUUCAUAACUUGAUUGUUGCGUGACUAGUCCCCAAAAAAUGUUUGAGAAAGUUUCAUGUUGAAACCUUCUAUAUCAUGUCUUUUGUCUUCAUAUAAUCUUUUGACGGUAUUUAAAUAUCUAUAUCAGUUUCGUAGAAGAUUAUCAUGCUGUUAGUGUUAUGUGGUUGUGACUUUUAAUUAUGUUCGUUAAUUGUCAACAUUUUUUUAGUUCUCUUUUUUUCCAUGCAUCUAUCUGUAGCAUAUAUUUUUUUGAUGCUCUCAACAUUGUAUAGAUGAAAUAGGUUGAUGAAAUAGAGAAAUACAAAAACUUCCCCAAAGGGAUUACAAACUAAAGGUUACCGAGGAAGGUGACAAAAACAAAAGAAGCGUAAAGAACUAGGAUACUAAAAGGCGAAAAAGAAACAAAGAGUACCCAUGUGAUCCUCAACCAAAACUAUUAACUGUGCAAUAACUCCGAGACAGCACUGAGUUUAGCAAGUUCAUCUGCAACCUGUUUGGCCUCUCUUCAGAUAUGACUCCAAGAGACCUGCACCUGUACAGAUCAAUUUCGUCAAACAGGUGCCAAAGUCUCCACGGUGGUUAUGAGGUGCAAGAGGCCCAAGAGAUGACAUUCUGAGAGUCCCCCUCUACUAAGAGGGGAGGGCCCCAAGAGUGGUCGAAGCGCCUGAGUCCUUCGAGGAAGGCAUGGGCUUCUGCCUCAGUCAAGUCCACAGUCCCGUUAGGCAGGGAGAAUGAGAGGGAUAUUCUCUCGGAGUUUCUAAAGAUUCCUCCUAUACCAUUUGUGGUUAUACUUAAGAAGCAUUUGAUCAUUGAUUUGGGGUAUCAGAUUGGGAAUGGUUCUCAUGGUUGAUAUGGAGAAAUCCUGUUAUUUAGUUAUUAGAAUUUUGUGAGUGCCUUUCUCCACUGUUUGAUUAAAAACUGUCUAUUAUUUAAUCAUGGGUUCUCAUAUACAUGUUUCUCUUUUCUUUUUAAUAUAUUUUAAUUCCAUUUUGGAUGGAAAGUUGAACAAGGGGAAAAAGAUGAGCUUCACAUUCAAUGGCUGUUUCUGUAGAUAUGACAUAAAAGAGUAAGGCUGGGUGGACACUUAUUAUCUUAAUUGGCUUGGGCACUCGAUCAACAUAUCUAGAUUCUUCAGUGACAUGUAUAGUCCCUCAGGGUGUUUUUGUAACCUCUCUUCUACUUAAUACAAUGUUGACAGUAUAAAAAAAACAUAUCUAUAUUCUUGUUCAUUAAUAUUGUAUGCAUUUUGUAUUGAUUAUAGCAUAGACUUCUAUGCAGAAGCAGAGCCUAGACUUUUAUGCAGAAGCAGAGCAUAUUGCACUCAUUAUGGUUUCUUUACGUUGGCCAAAUCUAUAAACUACAGAUGCUUCAUCUGAUCCAUGACAUGUGGUGAUCAUUUAUUAUUGCAAAUUACUACUUUAGACUCUUGGUUGCUAUCUUUGCAAUGUUCAAAUAUCCUUUUACACAAUUUGGACAGAAAUAUUCAGACCCAACACUUAUUCUAGUGAGAUUUGAUGUUGUGGUGGCACAUCUGUCCGACAUUCUUGUGAAUUAUUGGGCCUUUCGUGUCUCCUUCUAUUUGACGAGUCAUGAUCAGUUCAAGCGGAGCAUUUGCUGUCUUUGACAAAUGAUUGGAUUAACUUGUAUUUCUCACGUCUGGUCGCCACCUAGACGACACAUGGCUGGCCCACAUUGGGGGCAGGCCCACAAGGGGUGUGAUUUGGCAAAAGAUAAGCUCAGG